rnacentral:misc_RNA from 1 species
UUAACUAUUAUAUAAUACUCAAACAUCACUAAACAACCGAGUUUGGGUCCUCUGGCAAGCGCAGUCAGCCGGAGCCGACGCCUAAAAGGCGGCCUGCCAAAGCAACAAAGGUAUGUAUACACGGUUUGGGAAUAGAACCCAUUUCAAAAAACGGGGCGAUUCUUUAAUGAUCCUUCCGCAGGUUCACCUACGGAAA